rnacentral:rRNA from 1 species
GACGAACGCUGGCGGCGUGCUUAACACAUGCAAGUCGAGCGAUGAAGCACCUUCGGGUGUGAAUUAGCGGCGAACGGGUGAGGAACACGUGAGAAAUCUGCCUUCAACUCUGGGAUAACUCCGGGAAACCGGGGCUAAUACCGGAUAUGAGCCUUGAUCGCAUGAUCGGGGCUGGAAAGUUUUUCGGUUGAAGAUGAUCUCGCGGCCUAUCAGCUUGUUGGUGAGGUAAUGGCUCACCAAGGCGACGACGGGUAGCCGGCCUGAGAGGGCGACCGGCCACACUGGGACUGAGACACGGCCCAGACUCCUACGGGAGGCAGCAGUGGGGAAUAUUGGGCAAUGGAGGAAACUCUGACCCAGCGACGCCGCGUGAGGGAUGAAGGCCUUC